UAAGGCCUUAGCUUAAUUAAAGCGAUUGAGUUGCAAUUAGUGGAUGUAAAUGAGAGUUUUACAGGUCUU
rnacentral:tRNA from 1 species